rnacentral:rRNA from 1 species
AGAUUAAGUUAUUAAGGGCGCACGGUGGAUGCCUUGGCACUAGAAGCCGAUGAAGGACGUUACUAACGACGAUAUGCUUUGGGGAGCUGUAAGUAAGCUUUGAUCCAGAGAUUUCCGAAUGGGGAAACCCAGCAUGAGUUAUGUCAUGUUAUCGAUAUGUGAAUACAUAGCAUAUCAGAAGGCACACCCGGAGAACUGAAACAUCUUAGUACCCGGAGGAAGAGAAAGAAAAUUCGAUUCCCUUAGUAGCGGCGAGCGAAACGGGAAGAGCCCAAACCAACAAGCUUGCUUGUUGGGGUUGUAGGACACUCUAUACGGAGUUACAAAGGACGACAUUAGACGAAUCAUCUGGAAAGAUGAAUCAAAGAAGGUAAUAAUCCUGUAGUCGAAAAUGUUGUCUCUCUUGAGUGGAUCCUGAGUACGACGGAGCACGUGAAAUUCCGUCGGAAUCUGGGAGGACCAUCUCCUAAGGCUAAAUACUCUCUAGUGACCGAUAGUGAACCAGUACCGUGAGGGAAAGGUGAAAAGCACCCCGGAAGGGGAGUGAAAUAGAACCUGAAACCGUGUGCUUACAAGUAGUCAGAGCCCGUUAAUGGGUGAUGGCGUGCCUUUUGUAGAAUGAACCGGCGAGUUACGAUUUGAUGCAAGGUUAAGCAGUAAAUGUGGAGCCGUAGCGAAAGCGAGUCUGAAUAGGGCGUUUAGUAUUUGGUCGUAGACCCGAAACCAGGUGAUCUACCCUUGGUCAGGUUGAAGUUCAGGUAACACUGAAUGGAGGACCGAACCGACUUACGUUGAAAAGUGAGCGGAUGAACUGAGGGUAGCGGAGAAAUUCCAAUCGAACCUGGAGAUAGCUGGUUCUCUCCGAAAUAGCUUUAGGGCUAGCCUCAAGUGAUGAUUAUUGGAGGUAGAGCACUGUUUGGACGAGGGGCCCCUCUCGGGUUACCGAAUUCAGACAAACUCCGAAUGCCAAUUAAUUUAACUUGGGAGUCAGAACAUGGGUGAUAAGGUCCGUGUUCGAAAGGGAAACAGCCCAGACCACCAGCUAAGGUCCCAAAAUAUAUGUUAAGUGGAAAAGGAUGUGGCGUUGCCCAGACAACUAGGAUGUUGGCUUAGAAGCAGCCAUCAUUUAAAGAGUGCGUAAUAGCUCACUAGUCGAGUGACACUGCGCCGAAAAUGUACCGGGGCUAAACAUAUUACCGAAGCUGUGGAUUGUCCUUUGGACAAUGGUAGGAGAGCGUUCUAAGGGCGUUGAAGCAUGAUCGUAAGGACAUGUGGAGCGCUUAGAAGUGAGAAUGCCGGUGUGAGUAGCGAAAGACGGGUGAGAAUCCCGUCCACCGAUUGACUAAGGUUUCCUGCGGUAGGCUCGUCUGCUCUGGGUUAGGCGGG